CAAUAGCGUAUAUUAAUGUUGUUGCAGUUAAAAAGCUCGUAGUUGGAUUUCGAAUGGGAGCGGUGGGUCGGGUCCGCAAGGGCUCGUUACCUGUUUCGUCUCCGGUUCUUUUUCGGGAUUUGUUUCUGGCGUGGCUGGCAUUGAGUUGUCGGUGGCGUCGGGCCCGUCGUUUACUGUGAACAAAUUAGAGUGUUCAAAGCAAGGUGUGUCUUGAAUACAUUAGCAUGGAAUAAUGAGAUAGGACUUUGGUGGUUUCGGUGAAAGCCGGAUAUUUUGUUGGUUUGCACGCCAAAGUAAUGAUUAAUAGGAGCAGUUGGGGGUAUUCGUAUUCAAUUGUCAGAGGUGAAAUUCUUGGAUUUCUAGAAGACGAACUACUGCGAAAGCAUUUACCAGGGAUGUUUNCAUUAA
rnacentral:rRNA from 1 species